AAAGUCGUAACAAGGUUUCCGUAGGUGAACCUGCGGAAGGAUCAUUCACAAUAAAUGUUCAGUGGUUUUGUGUACAUUUGCAUUGGUUUUUUGUCAGACCCGGGCUCUUGGAGCUUGGGAUUGACAAAGCACUCGUGCGUUUGUAUCUUUUCCACUGGCACGACUUUUGUUGUGCACCUUUGUGCAAAGUAAAUAACUUUACUCAAUUUUAUAACUUGACUGAAAAUUUUUUCAUUAUUUUAAUUGAACAUUGAAAGAUAACCUUUGUUGCUUUCAAUAAGUAGAUUAUAUUUGAAUCUUUAUACAACUUUUAACAAUGGAUCUCUUGGCUCUC
rnacentral:misc_RNA from 1 species